rnacentral:misc_RNA from 1 species
UCACUAAUCAAGCCCGGCUUGCUGUUGGACCUCUUGUCGUUAAAAGACAGGCCCUAAAGAUAAUGACGGUGUCAGUUGGACCCUAGAUGCAACGAGCUUUAACCAGCACGCAUCAUAGUGGCCUUUUGACCCGGUCUUUUUUAACCAAUUUCUAA